GACGAACGCUGGCGGCGUGCUUAACACAUGCAAGUCGAACGGAAACGCUCCAGCUUGCUGGAGUACUCGAGUGGCGAACGGGUGAGUAACACGUGGGUAAUCUGCCCUGCACUCUGGGAUAAGCCUGGGAAACUGGGUCUAAUACUGGAUAUGACCUUUCUCCUUAUGGGGUUUGGUGGAAAGUUUUUCGGUGUAGGAUGAGCCCGCGGCCUAUCAGCUUGUUGGUGGGGUGAUGGCUUACCAAGGCGACGACGGGUAGCCGGCCUGAGAGGGUGAUCGGCCACAUUGGGACUGAGAUACGGCCCAGACUCCUACGGGAGGCAGCAGUGGGGAAUAUUGCACAAUGGGCGGAAGCCUGAUGCAGCGACGCCGCGUGAGGGAUGACGGCCUUCGGGUUGUAAACCUCUUUCAGCAGGGACGAAGCGUAAGUGACGGUACCUGCAGAAGAAGCACCGGCUAACUAUGUG
rnacentral:rRNA from 1 species